CCCUAAUUCAAACUGAUUGGCGCGGCUCGAUGAAUCAAUUGCCACUUUCAACCAGAGGCUUAUUUUUCCUCUCCCCUUCGCAAUGAAAAUCAUAAAAAUAAACCUCUGGAACCAGGGUAUAACUUACCGCGAUAUAAGAUUUAGCAAACGGUUUAAUCUUUAAUGCAACGUUCAUUAGGAUUUAGGAGAUUUAAGCAAAACUUUAAACCCUCCUCCUCUAAGCGCGAGAAGCACAAUGAACAUGCAUGAUAAACUUCACGCAUGCGAAAAUAUUGAUGAUGUCGAAAAAAUAUUUUGUCACGUCAGCAGCGACCGCGUGAGAAGAAAAAUGAAGUUUAAGAGGCCGUCUCCGUAAGAACCGACCACUGAUUUUUUUUUCGAAAAUCAACCUUGCCUCUAACUUUUCUUAUUUAUUAGACUUAACAAGCAUACUACAAAAUCACAUUCAGAAUUUUUCAUCUCACGUUAUUUCCCAAGAUUUUUAAACUUUUGUUCCUUAGGGCUAUAAUUGGGAUCUCAACGCUUUGGCU